rnacentral:rRNA from 1 species
AGAGUUUGAUCCUGGCUCAGGAUGAACUCUGGCGGCGUGCCUAACACAUGCAAGUCGAGCGAUUUACUUCGGUAAAGAGCGGCGGACGGGUGAGUAACGCGUGGGUAACCUGCCCUGUACACACGGAUAACAUACCGAAAGGUAUGCUAAUACGAGAUAAAGUACUUUUAUCGCAUGGUAGAAGUAUCAAAGCUUUUGCGGUACAGGAUGGACCCGCGUCUGAUUAGCUAGUUGGUAAGGUAACGGCUUACCAAGGCGACGAUCAGUAGCCGACCUGAGAGGGUGAUCGGCCACAUUGGAACUGAGACACGGUCCAAACUCCUACGGGAGGCAGCAGUGGGGAAUAUUGCACAAUGGGCGAAAGCCUGAUGCAGCAACGCCGCGUGAGCGAUGAAGGCCUUCGGGUCGUAAAGCUCUGUCCUCAAGGAAGAUAAUGACGGUACUUGAGGAGGAAGCCCCGGCUAACUACGUGCCAGCAGCCGCGGUAAUACAGAGGUCUCAAGCGUUGUUCGGAAUCACUGGGCGUAAAGCGUGCGUAGGCUGUUUCGUAAGUCGUGUGUGAAAGGCGCGGGCUCAACCCGCGGACGGCACAUGAUACUGCGAGACUAGAGUAAUGGAGGGGGAACCGGAAUUCUCGGUGUAGCAGUGAAAUGCGUAGAUAUCGAGAGGAACACUCGUGGCGAAGGCGGGUUCCUGGACAUUAACUGACGCUGAGGCACGAAGGCCAGGGGAGCGAAAGGGAUUAGAUACCCCUGUAGUCCUGGCAGUAAACGGUGCACGCUUGGUGUGCGGGGAAUCGACCCCCUGCGUGCCGGAGCUAACGCGUUAAGCGUGCCGCCUGGGGAGUACGGUCGCAAGAUUAAAACUCAAAGAAAUUGACGGGGACCCGCACAAGCGGUGGAGUAUGUGGCUUAAUUCGAUGCAACGCGAAGAACCUUACCAGGUCUUGACAUCUUCUGACAAUCCUAGAGAUAGGACUUUCCCUUCGGGGACAGAAUGACAGGUGGUGCAUGGUUGUCGUCAGCUCGUGUCGUGAGAUGUUGGGUUAAGUCCCGCAACGAGCGCAACCCUUGUGGCAUGUUGCUAACAGGAAAAGCUGAGGACUCAUGCCAGACUGCCGGUGACAAACCGGAGGAAGGCGGGGAUGACGUCAAAUCAUCAUGCCCCUUAUGGUCUGGGCUACACACGUACUACAAUGGCGGCUACAAAGAGCAGCGAGACAGGGAUGUCGAGCGAAUCUCAUAAAAGCCGUCCCAGUUCGGAUUGGAGGCUGCAACCCGCCUCCAUGAAGUUGGAAUCGCUAGUAAUCGCGGAUCAGCAUGCCGCGGUGAAUACGUUCCCGGGCCUUGCACACACCGCCCGUCA